rnacentral:rRNA from 1 species
GAAGCAGCCAUCCUUUAAAGAAAGCGUAAUAGCUCACUGGUCGAGGUUUCUAGCGCCUAAAAUGUAACGGGGCUAAAGUUCAGCACCGAAGCUGUGAGUUUUCUAUUUUAAUAGAAAGCGGUAGGAGAGCGUUGUCAGUGCACUGAAGCUAAAAUGUGAGUUUUGGUGGAGCGCUGAGAAGUGAGAAUGCAGGCAUGAGUAGCGACAAUCGUGGUGAGAAUCCACGACACCGGAAGCCCAAGGUUUCCUACGCAAUGUUGAUCAUCGUAGGGUUAGUCGGGCCUAAGUGAAAGCGUAUAGCGAACACGAUGGAUAUCGGGUCAAAAUUCCCGAACCAUUUGUAUUGUGUUUUAACGCAAAGGGGGGACGCAAGAAGGUAAGUAGAGCAUACCUAAUGGACAUGGUGUGUUUGCUUUUGUAGAUGAUGACCAGAUAGGUAAAUCCGUCUGGUAUUUUAGUUGAGGAAAGCAAAAACUCGAGAGCUUAGCUCAAAGGAAUUCUGCCGACCCUAGGUUGCCAAGAAAAUCCUCGUUGUAAAUAAUAUAAAUGACCGUACCGCAAACCGACACAGGUAGGCAGGGAUAAACGUCCCAAGGUGAACGAAAGAACCUUCGUUAAGGAACUCGACAGAUUGACCCCGUAACUUAGGGAGAAGGGGUGCCUAUUAUUUAAUACUGAUUUACUUAGUAAAGGGUAAUAGGCCGCAGUGAAUCGGUCCAAGCGACUGUUUAUCAAAAACAUAGGUCUAUGCUAAACCGAAAGGUGAUGUAUAUGGGCUGACGCCUGCCCAGUGCCGGAAGGUUAAGAGGAGAGGUUAGGAGUAAUCCAAAGCUUUGAAUUGAAGCCCCGGUGAACGGCGGCCGUAACUAUAACGGUCCUAAGGUAGCGAAAUCCCUUGUCAGGUAAGUUCUGACCCGCACGAAUGGCGUAACGACUUGGACAUUGUCUCAACGAAGGACUCGGUGAAAUUGCAGGACCAGUGAAGAUGCUGGUUACCUACGACAGGACAAAAAGACCCCGUGGAGCUUUACUGCAACUUGGCAGUGAUUUAGGCUUAUAAACGUGUAGGAUAGGCGGGAGACUUUGAAACUUUAGCGCUAGUUAGAGUGGAGUCGACCUUGAAAUACCGCCCUUUUAUAAUCUUGGAUCUAACUUUAUUUAAUUAUGAAGGACCCUGCCUGGUGGGCAGUUUGACUGGGGCGGUCGCCUCCCAAACAAUAACGGAGGCGCCCAAAGGUUCCCUCAAGGUGGAUUGGAAAUCACCUUUCGAGUGUAUUGGCAUAAGGGAGCUUGACUGCGAGACCUACAAGUCGAGCAGGGACGAAAG